AGGGAAUUUUCCGCAAUGGGCGAAAGCCUGACGGAGCAACGCCGCGUGAGUGAAGACGGUUUUCGGAUUGUAAAGCUCUGUUCUGUGGGAAGAAGACAGUGACGGUACCAUAGGAGAAAGCCCCGGCUAACUACGUGCCAGCAGCCGCGGUAAUACGUAGGGGGCAAGCGUUGUCCGGAAUUAUUGGGCGUAAAGCGCGCGCAGGCGGUUAGUUAAGUCAGAUGUGAAAGGCUACGGCUCAACCGUAGAGUUGCAUUUGAAACUGGUUAACUGGAGUGCAGGAGAGGUGAGUGGAAUUCCCGGUGUAGCGGUGGAAUGCGUGGAGAUCGGGAGGAACACCAGUGGCGAAGGCGGCUCACUGGCCUGCAACUGACGCUGAGGCGCGAAAGCGUGGGGAGCGAACA
rnacentral:rRNA from 1 species